rnacentral:rRNA from 1 species
UACGGGAGGCAGCAGUGGGGAAUAUUGCACAAUGGGCGAAAGCCUGAUGCAGCUAUGCCGCGUGUAUGAAGAAGGCCUUAGGGUUGUAAAGUACUUUCAUCGGGGAGGAAAAAACAAAACUAAUAAUUUUAUUUCUUGACGUUACCCGAAAAAGAAGCACCGGCUAACUCCGUGCCAGCAGCCGCGGUAAUACGGAGGGUGCUAGCGUUAAUCAGAAUUACUGGGCGUAAAGAGCACGUAGGUGGUUUUUUUAAGUCAGAUGUGAAAUCCCUGGGCUUAACCUAGGAACUGCAUUUUGAAACUGAAAUACUAGAGUAUCGUAGAGGGAGGUAGAAUUCUAGGUGUAGCGGUGAAAUGCGUAGAUAUCUGGAGGAAUACCUGUGGCGAAAGCGGCCUCCUAAACGAAUACUGACACUGAGGUGCGAAAGCGUGGGGAGCAAACGAGGGAUUAGGAUACC